UCCGGCUUAACGCCGGCAGUCUCCUUAGAGUGCCCAACUGAAUGGUGGCAACUAAGAACGAGGGUUGCGCUCGUUGCGGGACUUAACCCAACAUCUCACGACACGAGCUGACGACAACCAUGCACCACCUGUGCACUGGCCCCGAAGGGCUAGCGUAUUUCUACGCUAUUCCAGUGCGUGUCAAGCCUUGGUAAGGUUCUUCGCGUCGCGUCGAAUUAAACCACAUGCUCCGCUGCUUGUGCGGGCCCCCGUCAAUUCCUUUGAGUUUUAGCCUUGCGGCCGUACUCCCCAGGCGGGACACUUAAUGCGUUAGCUGCGGCACGGGAGGAGUCGACACCUCCCACACCUAGUGUCCAUCGUUUACGGCGUGGACUAC
rnacentral:misc_RNA from 1 species